AAACCCCAGCCUUGGCCAAAAUAGCCUGAGACUAAGGAAUGGGCACAUGACGCAAGCUGAACCAAACAGGGACAGCCCAAGACUUAGUGGAGCUCUGCAGAAGAGGCUCCAUUCUGGACUCCAACUUUCCCCACAAGCACAGCUGAGGGAGGAGAGAGAGCAUUGCUCCGAUGGCACUGUUUGAGCCCCUGGAUUCAGCCUUGCCUGAAGUUCCCUGGACUUUCCUGAAGACCCAGGUCUUCCCAGCCACCUGGAAGGCAGAUGUGAGGUGUGGAGCUUCAGUAACCUUGCUGGACCAUGAGAUGGCCUUGGGAUGGAAGCCACACACCUUGUGUGGCAGAGCAGAAAGAAAGAAGGAGCCUAGGCUGCUGAGGACUCUCUGAACUGUCUGUCUCUGGACUUGUUUUACAAAGUGAGAAAAAAGCUUCCUGUAGUUAAGCAAAAAUUGCUUUCAGUUUUUAAUUAUAUGCAAAGAGUCUUAAUGCUAAUUGAUGGCGGUAACUGUUUAUUGUUAAUAAAUAAAGCACUUUUUGGUAUUAUCUAUCAGAAAUAAAAGUGUAUAGAGGCAUUCACUCACCAUUUCCAGUCAGGGCUUCACCAUGGAGAUAUACUUCGGGAAAUAAAAUUGUUUUCAAGAGCAAACACUGUAAGUGACCUAAGCGUCCAUGCAUGGGGGUUGGUUAAGUGAUCGAGCCUGCAGUGGGCUCUCAGGCCGCCAUUCAAAGAAUGAGAUAGAUCUGUUUGUUUUGCUACCAAAGAGACUCAGGUCUUAUUAUUAAGUGAAAAUGAGUAAGUUACCAAAAAGCAUGUGUAGUUUGAUCUCUUUUGUGUAAAAAAAUAUAUAAAUAUACAUCUAUGUAUACUCUUUUUUUUUCCAGAAGGAAAUGAAAACCUGCUAACUGAAGGGAGAGAGGGCCAUGGAGUUGAUGAGGAGAGAGGCUCUUAUUUGUCACUGUAUAUAUGUUUGUACAGAUUAGACUUUCUCUCUAUUAUCUGUCUUUACAGUAAUAAAAAAAGAUGAAUGAAGACACAUGUGCUCUGACAGGAGUUGGCUUAUGUCUGGGAGUUUGUUUACUCAUCCUGAAAAUGAAGGCAAAGUUUAUUUUGACUCCUUCCUGCAGCAUGAGAGCUCUGCUUACAAGAGUGGGAUGGCAACACAGGAAGAAGAUAGCAGCAAGACAGCCAUGCGCCAGGAGGCAGAUGGCAGAAGAGACUUUCAGAGCAGCCAGAAAAUGGAGAGCUGGAUCCACACUCAGGCGUUCUGGCCCCAUAUUGGGGGGCUCUUUUGUGCUCUGCCAUGGUGGGUAGAAAGAGCAGCAAAAGUCAUUGGUGACACCUUCCAGAAAUGGGAUGUUUGAAAAAAAAUCUUCAUAAGACUGAGAAAUUUUGUCUUUCAUAGUACACAGAUUGAGUGGAGUCUACAGAGACUUGGAAAAUGUUGUCAAAAAUGCUGGGUCAGAAUGCAAAUUAUGUGAUCAGACCAAGCAAGCAGAGGGAGAUGCAGCAUCACCAGCUUUUCUCACCAUUUCUGAAAAAUGAGAACUGUGUGAAGACAAGUAGCUCACGUCAGAAACUGACAAUGGCCAAUUCUUUUUCUUACUGGGAGAGAAUACUCUGGAACUCUUCCUACAGGAAAGGCCAUUAGGUAUAGACCUAGUUCCAAACAAACGUUAGUAAGGUGGAGUGGUGUAGUUUGGAAAUGUGAAGAAAAAAGAGAUAAGAGUCAAUCCUGGCCACAGGAAAAGCUUGGGUGAUGGUCCAUAUUCAUCUCUGUUCUCAAAAACUGACUGAGAAGUAAUUGGUGGAGAAGGCGCCAACCACAGUCCCUGUCAGAGUUAGAUUGCCACCCUGAAGCAUGCUGGGAAAUUUUCACAGG
ensembl:lncRNA